rnacentral:rRNA from 1 species
CCCGCUGAACUUAAGCAUAUCAAUAAGCGGAGGAAAAGAAACUAACAAGGAUUCCCCUAGUAACUGCGAGUGAAGCGGGAAAAGCUCAAAUUUAAAAUCUGGCGGUCUUGCGGCCGUCCGAGUUGUAAUCUGGAGAAGCGUCUAUCCGCGUCGGACCGUGUACAAGUCUUCUGGAAGGGAGCGUCGUAGAGGGUGAGAAUCCCGUCUUUGACACGGACAACCGAUGCUUUUGCGAUGCGCUCUCGAAGAGUCGAGUUGUUUGGGAAUGCAGCUCAAAAUGGGUGGUAAAUUCCAUCUAAAGCUAAAUAUUGGCGAGAGACCGAUAGCGAACAAGUACCGUGAGGGAAAGAUGAAAAGCACUUUGGAAAGAGAGUUAAACAGUACGUGAAAUUGUUGAAAGGGAAACGUUUGAAGUCAGUCGCGUCGGCCGAGACUCAACCUUGCUCUUCGCUCGGUGCACUUCUCGGUUGACGGGUCAGCAUCAAUUUCGACCGCCGGACAAAGGUCAGGGGAAUGUGGCAUCCUUCGGGAUGUGUUAUAGCCCUUGAUUCGCAUACGGCGAUUGGGAUUGAGGAACUCGGCGCUUCACGCGUCCAGGAUGCUGGCAUAAUGGCUUUAAGCGACCCGUCUUGAAACACGG